CUGGCGGAGGCGCCGGAGGAGCCCCCGAGCUGCAGCCGUCUCCCUCGGGCUGCUGCCGGUGCUGCGGGCGGAGGCGGCUCCGCCGCGUGUUGGGCGCUGCGAGCAGGGAGCGCUGCGGUAUCGCCGGCAUGACGGGGCUGCUGCCUGCGUUAGUGCCCGUGGCUCUUUGUGCCGUGACAGCGGAUGGAGCGGCGCUGGGCGGUAAAGCCAGAGAUGGCCGGGAGAAUGCCCAGCGCAGGGAGCGGCCGGGCUGUGUGCUUCGGAUGGCACAGGUGCGAGCUGCAAAGUCACCCCCCCUUCCGCCCCUGCCCUCCCGAGCCCCGGGGAAAAUGCUUUCCAGCAUUGUCGAGCUUCUGAAAGACAAAACUUGUGAUUUGACACUAGCAUCCAGAAAAGGUUUCUGUCUAGAUUAGCAAAUGCCUAAAUUGUUCUUGGUUACAUCCCAUGACCGGUUUUAGGCAGUGACUUCAUACUGCUUUUAGGAUUUUCUUGUACACUGGUGAGAAAAUAGGCAGGUCUGAUAGUGGUUUCACUUUUUUUCUACUUCACGUUCCAUAAGAUUCUUUUAUCCAAGCGAUUGUUUUAAAAUUCUACUGUAAGCGUUUGUGGUUCACUUUUUUUUUCUUUGCAGCACCCGGGCCUUUUUUUUUUUCUCUAAAUCGGGAGUAAAUAUAGCUGAGUAAAAUUACCUUGGUUAUCUUCCUUCUUUUUAAACUUAAUUGUUUUUAUUAAUAAUUCUAUUUGAAUAUGCAGAAAAAGUGGGUAUGUCCUGUAAUCUAUGCUAGCUUUUCUCGUUUACAGGGUACUCACAAAAUAUGUCUCCCUUAGUGUCCCACAGAAACAUUCUGGGUGAAAUCUGAAUUAAGGUAUGUGUUUUCAAAUAAGUAAUCAGUUUAGAUAUUUGCCUGUGUACCUUUUCCUGUAAUUCAGAGCUUGUGUUCUGUGGGUUUUAUGAUAAACCUGUAAAACAUGUAAGAAUGGUUUUGCAAGUCUGAAUCGUUGAAGGCAGCAAUAAGUGGAUUUAAAGCCUGUUCUUGAGCAGACAAAGGGGAAAAGUGUGACUCUGAUGCUGAACUUGUCAUUUUUCAUUUGACUUGCCUUGAAUUAUUGAAGAAGAGAGAGAACUAGGAAAAGAAAUAGAAUUGAUUAUUGAGCACUCCUAAAAAGCUCACCAUGAUUCUGUGUAGAGCCAAAGUGAAGGAUGAUGGAACAGAGCUCUGUGCAUUAGAAGGAAAUAAACCUGAUGUCCACACAGAGUCUUACUAAUUUCUGUUUUUAAAAUGCAAAAUAAGUUUAGGAAGUGUUGGAAGUUAGUAUUUUGGGAAAGAAAUGGCAGUUCCACAAAACAUUCCAUUCCAUUUAAGAGAGGCCCUUGGACUGAUUCAUGUUGUAACUGCUGUCACUGCAAUCAGUUGGUGGUUCAGCCUUGAAACGUGCACUUGGCCUUCUAUAAAGCACUGUUUUGUUUGCCUUUCAGUGCUAUGAGUCUUGAUAAAUUGGAGAAGUGCCCAAGAGAAAUUCAUCAUCCUGAGAUACAAAAGGUAGGAAGUGACUUUUUUUGGUUUGGUUCUUUUUCUUUAUUGUUUUCUGGAAAUAGAAGUAAUUAAGUAUAGAUACUACUGGUUUGUUUCUUCCAGUAGCUGAUAAUACUAAUACCAAUAAUAAUAAUAAUAAGAGUAAAGUAAUACUACUUAAAUUGUCUUUAUUUAUCCAUUGAACUGGCCAUUUUAAAUCUAAACUUCUAAACACAAAUCAAACCAUCAUCCUUGUAGAAUCUUUAAUAGGAGUGGGCUAAAGAUCCUGGUUUUGUUGACAGGAUUUAUUGGUUCAUGAAGAGCAAGAGGUAAGUACAAGCCUAACUACCCUCUAGCUCACAGACCUGCCCGGUGAAUAGAGCUUUGUUUUUUUGAUGGGCUUGUGAUGACUUUGAGAUCAAUUGCUCAUUCAUUACAGUAAAAAAAAAAAAAUUGUUUUGAACAUGACAGCAAAAAUAACUUUAAGCACAACUUAAUAAUAAUAGAUCACCAAUUUUAGUUAAUAAUUUUAUGCUAUACUCUUGGGUGAGGGAAGACUCGGACACUCAAUAUGAGAUCAGCAAGCUAUGUUUAUUGCAGAGAGUAUCAGACACUUAUACAGCACAUAAUAAGCUUAUGAAUAUUCUGUAAGCCAAGCGAUCUAUUGGUUAAACUAUACCAUCAACUCUUCCUCAUUCCUUUGGGCCUACAUUCCCUAUUUCCCACGUCUCUCUGUCUACUUGUUAUCCUACCCAGCUAGGCCCAGGCACACGCUAUCUUGCAGGUGCAAAACUCAAAAAUACCUGUGUUCGGUACUUUCCCAGCUCCUGGUCGGCUAACGAGCGAAUGUCUGCGUGACCUCUGUCAUGGAGCCAUUUCUCCACACUAUACUAUCAAAGUUUAAAGGUAAAUUAUUAUAUAUUAGGAGAUGGUGUAAAGUGUAUGUUGUAAUGUGUAGGAUAUAUACAAAGAUACGUACUUGAAAGUCCGUAGAGGAAACAAAUUUUUACGCCUUCUGUUUGACUGUUUGUCAUAUAUUUGGUUUUAUUUCCCAGGGAUCAGUGAAUUUUAACUCUGGAGUCCUCUAUGCUAAGGAUGCUCAGCUUACAGAUGAUGAAAUGUUCAGUAAUGGUGAGUUUUUCACCUUCUCCUUCAUUGUUUUGCUCAUCUGAAUAAAAAAAAAAAAAAGGCAAGAUUAAAGAAAAAGCAAUAGUUUUAUUAUUUUUACCCUGUUAUGUCUGUUUCCUCAGUAUUUGCUGGAGCUGUGCUUACCCAAGGUUUGGGUAAAACAAGCUUUGGGUUCCCUCUGUCUCACUGGGAGUUGCCCAAUUCAGUUGCAUCUGGUGAAAUUCACCCUGAGACCUUACAGAACCAGCUCCAACUACGUGAGAGCCAUUUGCAGUUCUCUCCAGACGCCUGGAGAAUGGGCGACGUUUCUGAGGAUCCGGCGAGCGUGCUUCUGUCAAAACUCAGUCUGUGAAAUUUCUGGGGAAAACCCUUCUGUGUCCUGAAGGGUUCAAACUCUGGAUUUUUUGUCUUUGCAAAAUAUUGUGCAUUUCACUCUUUGGAACCUCUCAGAUGGUUCUUUGGUGCAGCACCACCCCAUGGGACACUUGGCUGCUGUCCUGAAGGGGUUGGUGGCUAGAAUUGUGAAUCCUGGAGAGUUUAUAAGUCUUCUGUCCCCAGGGAGGUAUCAUGCUUUGUUUACUUUUGUUCUGUUGGUUAGGUGCUGCUUCUCGUUGCAAGUACGAAUUUCAAACUGCCCUGUUCUUAUUUUAACUGUUUUCCUGGUUCUCUCCGUCCGGCAGGGAAAGACUCUCGUAUCCUUGUCGUCGGGCUCGGUGCUGUCCAAGAAGAUACAGAGACUAAAAAAAUCAUAAGAAGCAAAAUAUGACUGCAGGGAAAAGAAGCUGGAGAGAACAGAAGACUCAUCACGGCGGGACAGCGUGAGGACUGAAAGUGUAAGAAGAUGUGGAGGGAAACAGAGAAUCUGACAGGAGCAGCGAACGCACGAGUGCACGAAUUUUGCUUUUUGCUUGGAUGUAAACUCAGGAGUUGAAAGGAAUUUGGGAGUGAGAAGGGACAUUUCAGAAGGAGAAGAAGAAAAAGAAGUUGUUGUUGUUGCUACAGUCCUGGCAAAAGCUUUUGUUCUAGCUAAUAAAAGAAGUUAGUUUAAAAAACAAAAAGGA